UCAGAUAAAACGUAGAUCAGUUAUACAGGGUGGUUGGUAACUGGUGGUACAAGCGGAAAGGGGGUGAUUCUACGUAGAAUUAUCAACCACCCUGUAUAUCCUAACUUUUCUAUACUUCCUUUAGCUAAUACUAUUGUAGUUAGUAACUUAUACUUACUUUCUAAAUAGUCAUUUACUUCGCAUAUGUAUUUUUCAAUAAUGUGAUAUAUAAACAGUUCAAUAAAACCAACAGUCCGGAAUAAAAUGAUAGCCAUAUUUUUGCUAGUGUUGUAACAUCUUAUCUUAUGUAAAAUCGUGAAAAUGAGACUAGAAAAGGCUUUAAAUAACAGUAACAGUAACAGUAACAGAAUUUUGCUAUUAAAAUUAGUUAGUAGUCCCGGAAUAGAAAAAAAAAAUAAAAA